rnacentral:rRNA from 1 species
ACCCUUAGAUGUUCUGGGCUGCACGCGCGCUACACUGACGAGAGCAACGAGUGUUCCUACCCCGGAAGGCGGUGGGCAAUCUUUUGAAAUCUCGUCGUGCUGGGGAUUGAUCUUUGUAAUUAUCGAUCAUGAACGAGGAAUUCCUAGUAAGCGCAAUUCAUCAAAUUGCGUUGAUUACGUCCCUGCCCUUUGUACACACCGCCCGUCGCUACUACCGAUUGAAUGGUUUAGUGAGGCCUCGGGACUGAUGCUUGGAUGCUGGCAACAGCGACCUCGCGUCGGGAACUUGGUCAAACUUGAUCAUUUAGAGGAAGUAAAAGUCGUAACA